UACGGAGGGUGCAAGCGUUAUCCGGAUUCACUGGGUUUAAAGGGUGCGUAGGUGGGUCUGUAAGUCAGUGGUGAAAUCCCCGAGCUUAACUUGGGAACUGCCAUUGAUACUAUAGCUCUUGAAUACUGUGGAGGUCAGCGGAAUAUGUCAUGUAGCGGUGAAAUGCUUAGAUAUGACAUAGAACACCGAUAGCGGAGGCAGCUUGCUACACAAUGAUUGACACUGAGGCACGAAAGCGUGGGGAUCAAACAGG
rnacentral:rRNA from 1 species